CCCUUAGAUGUUCUGGGCUGCACGCGUGCUACACUGAUUAUUUCAACAAGUGUUUUAACUGGAGAGUUUGCGUAAUCCUGAAAUGUUAUCGUGAUGGGAGUAGAGUAUUGUAUUUGUUAAUCUUUAACGAGGAAUUCCUAGUAAGUGUAGGUUUAUAAGUUGUUCUGAUUACGUCCCUGCCCUUUGUACACACCGCCCGUCGCUCCUACCGAUUGAUUGAUCCGGUGAAUUACAUAGAAUUUUGCGUUUUACAUGACGGAAGACGAUGUGUUUUAAACCUUAUCAUUUAGAGGAAGGAGAAGUCGUAACA
rnacentral:rRNA from 1 species